CUCCAUAGAUGACAUACUAUUAUACAUUUUAGAAAGAAAUUCACGCCCUUAUUUAGUGACCACAAAACACAGCUGCAAAUAUGGGAACACAAUUGUUUUCUGCAAAAGGUAGAAUUUAAACAUAAAAUAUACAGCCUAUAUCUUUCUCACUUUCUAUUCUAGAAAUGAAAGGUAUUAUAGACACUCCCACAUAUACCAAAAAUAAAUCCAAAGGACAAAUUAUACUGCAGGUAUACAGAUGCUCCAGAUAUUUGUAGUUAUGCACCAGAACUGCCCUCUUAGAAUUCAUUCAUUGACUGCCAAUUUAAUUGUUCCUAGACUAUUCCCACUAUUCCCACUUCAAUCAAGGGAUAUUAAGAAAUUAUGAGCCUCAAAAGCAGUCAAAAAUUCAAAAUUAAAUAUAUUUCACUUCCAUGUGUAAUUUGUAAACUGCCAAAUAAUGCUUUUAGGAUGUGAGGAUAAAUUAAAACCAAAAUGGAGCUAUUUCCCUACUAUGUUUGGGAAUCUGCUCUAAUGAUCUGCUCCUCUAUUUAGCAGUAAAAAGCUUUCAUCUAGCCAAUGAAUGCUAAUUGAUGUCAAGUUUCCUUUAUGGAUAAGAAGCAAGACCAAAUGAGCAACCUUUUGCUGCUCCUGCUGCUAAGUCACUUCAGUCGUGUCCGACUCUGUGCGACCCCAUAGACGGCAGCCCACCAGGCUCCCUUGUCCCUGGGAUUCUCCAGGCAAGAACACUGGAGUGGGUUGCCAUUUCCUUCUCCAGUGCAUGAAAGUGAAAAGUCAAAGUGAAGUCGCUCAGUUGUGUCCGACUCUUAGCAACCCCAUGGACUGCAGCCUACCAGGCCCCUCCGUCCAUGGGAUUUUCCAGGCAAGAGGACUGGAGUUGGGGGCCAUUGCCUUCUCCGAGCAACCUUUUAGUAACACAGAAAACUCCCUCUGAAGGUUAAUGUAUGGCAUUGAUUGUUCCAGAGCAUCGAUUAUCUUGAGCCUAAUUCUAAGCCAGCUGAUCCAAGUCUCUCAAAAUUGGAAAUCAUUUGGUAAUUUCCAGUUCCACAGCUGUCUCACACAAGGCCCAAUCAUUCCUUGCUCUUCAAUAACACACCUGACUAAUAAUGUUUCUUUUCUGCCUUCAUCCUCUAGGCAGUUAGUUCCAUACAAACAGAGACACUGUCUAGCUUGCUCACUGCAUCAGCCUGAGAACUUGACAGGUAUUGAUUCUCAACUGUUGAACGAAUGGCUAAGUAACAGAGCAAGGAUACACACCGGUGUUUAUCUGAUAUCAAAGACCCAAGACUGCACUUCUCAAUAUGUCAAGAACUUUCUGGAUUUUCCAAUCUAUCAUUUUACAGGGUGUUAGAGAGAUCAGAUGGGCAUCAAAAGCACAACAAGGAAUUUCAACUUUGCUUUACCGGUGACUGAGAAGAUCUGAUGUAAUCAAGGAUCAAAUAAAGCCUUUUCCUUACAGGUGAUUUCAAGUAUUUUGUAGUUUUCAACAAACUGAAAACAUUCUAGCAUAAAAGGGGAAAGGAGAUGGAGAGGGACAAGUGUGGGAGGCUCCCACAGAACCCCAGGCAUGGGAUGAUAGCAAUGGCUUGCACUGCACUGGUGGUACUGGAGCUGUGUCUCUUGGCACAAGUGACUCACCUUUUCUGAGCUUUGUUUUUCUCAACUACAUAAUUGAAAGUUUGCCUUUAAAUCAUUUACACUAAAUGUUUUACAAGGUUAUGGUGAGAAUUAGCACUAAUAAAGUAACUGACACAUUUGUGUGUUCAACAAAUGAUAGCUUCUACUCUGCUGUAUCGAGACACAGGGCUUUCUAAGGCUGCAAAAUGCUUUAGAAAAGCAAUGAUAAGGGAAAAAACAUUAUCUUAAAUUAUCCUUUAAGAUUAUUUAAUGAUACUUUUUGUAUAAUUUUAGGGCUUCCCUGGCUCAGCUAGUAAAGAAUCCGCCUGCAAUGUGGAAGACCGGGGAUCGAUCCCUGGGUUGGGAAGAUCCCCCAGAGAAGGGAAAGAUCCCCCACUCCAGUGUUCUGACCUGGAGAAUUCCAUGGACUGUAUAGUCCAUGGGGCCUCAAAGAGUCGGACAGGAGUGAGUGACUUUCAUUUUUCACUUUGUAUAAUUUGCCAGAGUCUACCGCAUACACUAAUUCAGCAACUAAACUGGGCCAGUGCAGUAAGUUAACAGUGGCUAACUCUGGGCAAGAUAAUAAGGGCAAUUUUUAUUUAAUUUGUUGUAUAUUUUCCAAAGUGAGCAUGUACUGCUUUUGUAAUCAAAAAGAGUAAGCUAUUAGAUUGUUUUGGACUCAGAAGACAAUUUACCCUGGAUUCUCUCAUUCCGUAUGACUCUGAUGUUAUUAUACAAGGUUCUUGGGUGCAGAAUCAAAGACGUGGCCUUUCCUAGUGUUAGGCAUAAAGGAACUUGGAGAAGAGAUUCUUCCUGCCAGGAUGAAAGGAAGCCAAAAUCCUCUCCAACUGUGAGACCUACUUCAAGGAUAACUAACAUUCAUAUACGUGCAUUUACUCAAAAAGUCAAUCCAGUUCCCAUUUUUAUUGGGCUCUUAAUAGGAAAGUAGGCUUCUUUUAAAAUCUGUAUUGCUAAUAUGAAUGAAGAAUAUAAAGAUGGAUUAAAAAUAAGCCAAGAUGUGACCCAUCAAUUACACUACUACAUAUAUAGAGAAAGAGAAAUUACAACAUAUAUCCACACAAAAAUGGGCUUCCUCGGUGGCACAGCAGUAAAGAAUCUGCCUGCCAUACAGGAGAUGCAGGAAACGCUGUUUUAAUACCUGGGUUGGGAAGAUCCUCUGGAGUAGGAAAUGGCAACCCACUCCAGCAUCCUAGCCCAGAGAAUUCCAUGGAUGUGGGCUCCAGUUCUUGGGGUCACAAAGAGCCAGAGAUGAUUGAGCACACACACACACACACACACACACACACACACACACACACACACACACAGAGGUAUACAUGAGUAUACAAAGCAGCGAUACUCACAAUAAUAAAAAAAUGGAAGAAAACCUAUGAUCCCAAAACUGAUAAAUAGAUAAAAUGUAUAGUCACACAAUGGGGUAUUAUUCAGUAAUAAAAAGAAAUGAAUUCUUGCUAUUUCUCUCACCUAGUAAACAAAGAAAUGAAUUACCAAUGCACUCUAAAAUGUGGAUGAACCUCAAACACAUUGCAGUUAGUGAAAGAAGUCAGUCACAAAGGACCACAGAGUAUAUGAUGCCAUUUAUAUGAAAUCUCCAGAAUAGGCAACGGUGUAUAGACAGGAAGUAGAUUAGUGGUUGCGUAGGGCUGAGGAGGAACCUGGGGGUGAAUGGUAAAUUGGUAUAGAGUUUCUUUCCAGGGUGAUAAAAAUGUUCUAAGAUUGUGGUGAAAGUUGUACAACCCUGUUAAUAUAUUAAAAGUCAUUAAAGUAUAAUCUUUAAAUGAACUGUAUGCUCUAUGAAUUAUAUCUCAAUGAAGCUGUUACCAAAAGAUAAAUAAGUAAACCAAGAAAGGCAAAUAUACUAUGUUGUUUCAUGUAAUUCUGAAUUGAUUCAUUUUCUUUUCUCCCAUUAAUCAGUUCAUUAGAAAUAGUUUAGGACUUCUAUGGUGGCACAGUGGAGAAUCUGUUUGUCAAUACAGGAAACAUGGGUUUGAUCCUUGAUCCGGGAAGAUUCCAUAUGCUGCAAAGCAACUAAGCCUGUGGGCCACAACUACUGAGCCCUCGCUCUAGAGCCCAGGAACCACAACUACUGAAGCCCACACGCCUUGAGCCCAUGCUCUGCAACAAGAAAAGCCACUGCAAUGAGAAGCCCACGCGCUGCGAUGAAACGGAGCCCCGCUCAUUGCAACUUGAGAAAGCCCACAGGCAGCCACAAAGACCCAGGGCAGCCAAAAAUAAAUAAGAUGAAUAGACAUUUUAAAUUCAACUAUUGUGAAGAUAUGAUUCUGGAAAGGAAAGGUAACAUUGGAAGAAUGAUCAGAAACUACUUAAAGCAGCUAUAAGAUGGUCUCUUUCUCUGUGUCUUUUUCUCUCCAGUUGUCAUAAACUUUUUCUUUGAAAGGUUAGGAAAAAUUCGUUAUUUUUUUUUCUAAUACUGGGGAAAAAAAUCAGGCUCUCCAUACCCCCAAAUAACUUGAACAAAUCACAUGUUUAAAAUUUGUUCUUGUAUUUAUUGGCUUUGUAAAACAAGGCAAAGAUGUACUGUGUACAUCUUACACAGUAUUUGUAACGAUUUGCAAAUCAUUUGUUUAAAAAAAAGGGUAGUUUGCAAAAAAAUGGUUUUGGUUGUUUAUAAUUCUCAUUAAAACAAUAUCUGGCCAAAGGGAAAAAAAGAAAGACUGGACCAUUCCCAAUUAGCCUGAAUAAUGGAAUUAAAGUUGCAUGAUUUAAAUAGUGCCUUUUAAAAAUAGAUGCCAAUCAUAUAUUUUAAAUUAUGCACGAUAAAAGUGACAAAACCACAAAUUUACUCAGGAAUGUUAUAUACUUGGUUAUGGAAUAUCUUUACAUGCAUGAUACUAACAACAAGAACUAAAAAUGAAUGAUAGAUUUGCAUGCAUAAACACAAAAAGCAUUCACUAUACCCGCAUCAGGGAUUCCCAGGUGGCGCAGCGGUAAAGAAUCUGCCUGCCGAUACAGGAGACCCGAGAGACGGGGGUUUGAUCCCUGGGGUCGGGAAGAUUCCCUGGAGGAGGAAAUGGCAAUCCACUCCAGCAUUCUUGCCUGGAAAAUCCCAUGGACAAAGGAGCCUGGCAAAUUACAGUCCACAGGGUCAUAAAGAGUUGGACACGAUUGAAUACAUACCCACAUCAAAACUGAGUCUUUUGGAAGUGCUCUGAUAGAAAACUGAGCUAAGGAGAUGAACAGUGCACAAAAGUAUACAAAAGAACAAUAUUUGGAAGGAAAAGAAAAAGAAUGCCUAUGACAUGGUUUUGCUGUGUAAUGUGAUUGUGUUUACUGAACUCUUCCCUCCCAAGGAUAUUAGUCUCCACGUGGCUUCAGCCCAAAACAGCAAUAAGAAAAAAGAGGGUAGGAUAAUUUAAGAAUAGUUCAUCACAUUCACUUAACAUCUUUUGAAAUUAGAUUGUAACCCUUUAUCUGAGUUAGAGACCCUAGUCAUCCCCCACUGCCUCUCUCAUCCCUCACUGUAUGGAGCCUCCUUCCUCUCUGUUCCCUUUACCACGGUCUUAUAGACACUCAUCCUUGCCCGACUAUUUCAAUAGCCUCCUGACUGGUCUCCCUGCUGUAUGUUUCUUCCCACUUAAUCCACCUUCUGGACUCCAAGACUUAAGAGUGUAAUAGUUUCUCUCUCCAUCUCAGCAGUUUCUGCAUUGUAUUGAGCACAGACUCCAAGAUCUGUCAAUCUGUCUUCUCUCCUCAUCUCUUUUGGUUACUCUUCUUCCCCUGACAAGCUGUGCUCUAGCUCAGCUCAGAGGCUGACUUUCCAUAAAAAAGCGAAGCUUUCCCACUGCCAGACCUUUACACAAGCAGUUUCUUCUGCCUUCACUUCCUAGAGUACAGCCACCUGGAGUCUAGCGUCUUCCCCACAUUGUUAAGUAGUUGAUGACAGCCCUGCUGUUCCUGCAAGACUGAACAUUAAAAACCAAGGACAGGAGGAGGGGUAAAUUGCGAACUUGAGAUUAACAUAUACACGAUUGUAUAUAAAACUGAUGAACAAGCACCUAGUAUAUAGCACAAGGAAUUAGAUUCAGUAUUUUGUAAUAAUCUAUACUGGAAAAUAAUCUGACAUAGAAUAUAUGUGCAUAUAUACAUAUAUGUAACUGAAUCACUUUGCUGUACACCUUAAUCAUUAUACAAAUCAACUAUACUUCAACUUAAAAAAAAAGAGGACGUGUCUUACUCACCGAGUCCCCAUCACCUAAACUUACUAAGAACAUGGUAAAUAUGAAGAAAUAGACAGGAAUCCCCUUUCUGAUUAUUUUUCAGGAUGCAUAAUAUUUUUGCACUGCUAACACAAAUACUUUCAUGAAACUUUCGCUAGACUGUAGCGGGAUUUCAGUCUUAUUUUUUGAUUAAGAAAAGCACCAGCGGUAAGAUUAUAUGCAGGAAC
ensembl:lncRNA